CCUACGGGAGGCAGCAGUGAGGAAUAUUGGUCAAUGGGCUUACGCCUGAACCAGCCAAGUCGCGUGAGGGAAGACUGCCCUAUGGGUUGUAAACCUCUUUUGUCAGGGAGCAACGCCGGCUACGUGUAGCCGGACUGAGAGUACCUGAAGAAAAAGCAUCGGCUAACUCCGUGCCAGCAGCCGCGGUAAUACGGAGGAUGCGAGCGUUAUCCGGAUUUAUUGGGUUUAAAGGGUGCGUAGGUGGUUAAUUAAGUCAGCGGUGAAAGUUUGUGGCUCAACCAUAAAAUUGCCGUUGAAACUGGUUGACUUGAGUAUAUUUGAGGUAGGCGGAAUGCGUGGUGUAGCGGUGAAAUGCAUAGAUAUCACGCAGAACUCCGAUUGCGAAGGCAGCUUACUAAACUAUAACUGACACUGAAGCACGAAAGCGUGGGGAUCAAACAGGAUUAGAUACCCGGGUAGUC
rnacentral:rRNA from 1 species